AAGAGUGAAAACCUUUAUUUGGAAAAGUCCGCAACAUGGAUAUGGUUCAGAAAAAAACACAGAAAGAGCAAAACUAACAUCAACAUAGAUAGGGGGCCUUUGAUAAAACGUCGAACACAUCACUAUUCUGAGGAAGGAGAGGUUUGCGUUGUUUCUAGUAAGACACAGCCCUCUGUGGCACCAAGGGGCUCUCAUGUCCAGUCCAGGCCCCAGUCUCUGCGGGAGGGAGGAGCGGACGGGGUUAGCACCGUUAAUCUCGAGGGUCUUGAGUGCAGCCAGCGCCCCUGCGAGUACUCUUUGAGGUCGGGGUCAGUGCUGGUCGGCAGCGGCCUCUAGGGCUGUGGGGCCAAGGUCCAGGCCGGUCACCAGCAGGACCCUCAGGAGACGGGGCCGAGUCACCAAGAUUUAUGUCUACAACGGCCUCCUGACCUUGGUUUCCCAAAACGAGACAGAGGCCAAUGGCUGCCCCAAGCUGAGAAGAGCUUGCUUUGACUUUAAUUGUAAAGUAACUGUUAGGUGAGGAUUGGUGGGAAAAGCCAGCUAUGGGGACAGAGGAGAGGGAGGCUAGUGCGGCACAGGCCCCGAGAGGGCGUCUGGCUCAGGCUGGUGGGACGCAGCACAGAGGUGCCUAGGGAAGAAGCUUCGCAGGCAGGAGGGAGGGUGGACAGGAGGGCAGGGCAGGAGAGCCCGGGGUGGGGAACCCAGGUGACGCCAGCUCAGGGCUGAGCCCCAGAGGGCCCUGCGCAAAGCAGGCAGCAGCGUUGUGUCCUGGCUUUCCAAGCUCUUCCUU